AUGAAGAAGGCCUUCGGGUUGUAAAGUACUUUCAGUUGUGAGGAAGGCAGUAAAGUUAAUAGCUUUGCUGUUUGACGUUAGCAACAGAAGAAGCACCGGCUAACUCCGUGCCAGCAGCCGCGGUAAUACGGAGGGUGCGAGCGUUAAUCGGAAUUACUGGGCGUAAAGCGCAUGCAGGUGGUCUGUUAAGCAAGAUGUGAAAGCCCGGGGCUCAACCUCGGAACAGCAUUUUGAACUGGCAGACUAGAGUACUGUAGAGGGGGGUAGAAUUUCAGGUGUAGCGGUGAAAUGCGUAGAGAUCUGAAGGAAUACCGGUGGCGAAGGCGGCCCCCUGGACAGAUACUGACACUCAGAUGCGAAAGCGUGGGGAGCAAACAGGAUUAGAUACCCUGGUAGUCCACGCCGUAAACGAUGUCUACUUGGAGGUUGUGGCCUUGAGCCGUGGCUUUCGGAGCUAACGCGUUAAGUAGACCGCCUGGGGAGUACGGUCGCAAGAUUAAAACUCAAAUGAAUUGACGGGGGCCCGCACAAGCGGUGGAGCAUGUGGUUUAAUUCGAUGCAACGCGAAGAACCUUACCUACUCUUGACAUCCAGAGAAUUCGCUAGAGAUAGCUUAGUGCCUUCGGGAACUCUGAGACAGGUGCUGCAUGGCUGUCGUCAGCUCGUGUUGU
rnacentral:rRNA from 1 species